AAGUCGUAACAAGGUUUCCGUGGGUGAACCUGCGGAAGGAUCAUUAUCGAGUUUUGAAACGGGUUGUAGCUGGCCUUCUUUGGCACCGUGCACGCCCUGCUCAUCCACUCUACACCUGUGCACUUACUGUAGGUUUCAGACGCGAUGCGAGUUUAGGCUCGCGGAGCUUAUGGGGCUUACGUUUCAACCACAAACGCUUCAGUAUCAGAAUGUGUAUCGCGAUGUAACGCAUCUAAAUACAACUUUCAGCAACGGAUCUCUUGGCUCUC
rnacentral:misc_RNA from 1 species